rnacentral:lncRNA from 1 species
AGGUCAAAAGAAUACCUUGGAAUCCUUUAGAUAUGUUCAUUAGUGAUCCAUUAUCAAAUUCCAUCUCUAAAUACCACAGUUGAUUCUGCAUUUAACAAACUCUCCUUACUUAUAAUUUUAAAAUUAUUUCAGUUUUUAAAUAUACUGUCAGUUUUUAAGUUAAAAAAAUCACUGUGAUUCUUAUUUACUAAUUUCUCUAGAUACAGAUUUCCUAAUCUAUGCAACAGGCCUUUUCUAGAUAAAGCCUAUAGGAAAGAGUGUGAGAUAAUUUUUACCUAGAGAAGAACCUGAGAAGACAAAACAAACUACCCUUUUGGAGGCAGUCCAGAAGCGCAACAAUUUUCACCUUGUAUUAGUUUUCAUUUUGAUAACAAAUACAGUAUUUCUUAUGGAUGCCCGUGAUUCUGAUGCUGAAAUUGUUAGUUUUGUACAGCGUCUUUUCUUCCAUUUUCCUCCUUUGAGUUGUUCAGUUUCUUGCUUUUUUUUCCCACAUAUCCCAGUAAACAAGGCUUUAUUUCUCUUGGCAGGCUCUGGGUAACUUAUUCAUGAAGCAUACGGGGUGAUUUCUUCCUUUAAUAGACUAGUAGUUACUGUUUUCAAACAACUUCCUUCAGUUUAUUUUGGUUUUAUUUUGAAGACAUGAGCAAACAUUGCCAGUUUUCCUCAGUACACAUGGUGAAGGAAUAAUGAAUUUUGGUAGGGAGUCGGGAAGAAAUGGGGAAAAUGUUGGCAAGCAUUUUUCAUCUUUUGUUUGCCAAAUUCCUGGGCUGGUUCUUAAGUCAAAAUUCUCCUCCCUGUGCAUGAAUAGCCAUCAACAGACAGGCAGGCAGGAAAGAGUGUAGGAGGAAAUCAGUGGUUAAAAAGAAAGCAUGGAAAGUGACACACCUGAGUUUUCAGCUUCUGACACAUAUACUGAUAUCUACUUCGUUUCCCCAAAGUAUACUGGUCCUUUGAUUCUAUCUAUACAUGCGAGUAUAUGCAGUGUUUCAUAGUUAUUAAAAACAUAUUUUUCCUGCUAUCACUAUCAGAGACAAAAAAAAGUUGAAAUAUGAGAAAAUAAAUUAGUUUUAGUAGAACAUGGAAAAACUCCCUUGUCAUAGAAAUGCUAAGAUGGAUACCCCUUUUUACAAAAUGAGAAAAAGGGUCAACCAUAGGCUGAGGCUGAGGGUGGGAACUGGGAACAGAGGUAGUAAACUGUGGAAUUUCUCAAGUGCUGACUUCAUUCUUGGGACUACUUUGUUUUAUAUAGAUCAUGAUUCUACAAACGAUGUCCCAUAAUAGCAGUUCAGAGAUGCUCUGGGGCGCAAUAGCUUUAGAUAGUAGAGAUUAGGUAGAUAUUCCGGGUCUUUGAGGCUGGUCUAUUUCACGAGCUUGUUAUAUGAGAACCUCUAUCUUAUCCAUUUUGCCUCUAAUCACGUUUUUCAUUUCUUGUGUGUGCUUCACUCAUAACCCUGUUUUUAUGUCAUAACAGUUGCUGUAUCAGCACCCUUCUCUUUCCAGUACUCAAUUUUAAACAGCCUCAUUAUGAAGAAUAUAGCACUUAAAAACAUGGCACAAAUGUGUAUUACUGCAGC